rnacentral:siRNA from 1 species
CUCUUGAGAUAGCUUUCGGGCUA